GAUAAGAACGUAGCGAAAUGCGAUAAGUAAUGUGAAUUGCAGAAUUCAGUGAAUCAUCGAAUCUUUGAACGCACCUUGCACCCUUUGGCAUUCCGAAGGGUAUGCUCGUUUGAGUGUCAUUGUACUCUCACACUUCCAAUCUUUGGAUUGGGAGCAGUGGACUUGGGUGUUGCUGCUUACUGUGGCUCACCUCAAAUCGAUUCGUGCACCUCUUGGUUGGACAUAGUACGGCGUGAUAAGUGUCUUCGCCGGCACCUCAGUAGAGGGUGGCUGAUCAGGAGCUCUGUGCUUCAAACCGUCCUCGGACAACAACUGACAACUUGACCUCAAAUCGAGUAGGACUACCCGCUGAACUUAAGCAUAUCAAUAAGCGGAGGA
rnacentral:misc_RNA from 1 species